UUUCACUAUGGUUAUCUAUUUGUCUUUGAUUCACCUAGAAAAAAUGCCUUGAAAACAAUAAAUCUGAACUUGAUAGUCUCCAAGUAUAUUAUUGGAAAAGUUACUAUUCAAAAAAGUUUAUUAUUGGACAAGUUAGUCAUUUCCAAAAUCUCUCCUUGGUCUUUUGAGAGAUUGGAUUUCUGGCUCUAAAACUAUUUUGUUGGAUUGCCUAAGUAUUAAACGUAGGAUUAGUUUGGGGCAUUGAGAUACGAAAAGAGAGUUUCAAGAAUUUAUUUGUGCAAAAAAUUGAAUUGAUCUUGGAGAAGUUGUAAAUUUUGAUGAAGUCAUAUCCAGGAAUCGGUGUAGAGCUGGGUGACUCCAUGUUUGAUAACUUCUACGAGGAGUGAAAUGUGUGCUAACCAAAUGAAUUGGUCUUGGAGAAGUUGUAAAUUUUUAUGAAAUCAUAUUCAGGAAUUGGUGUAGAGCUGGUGACACCAUGUUUCUAUGAAGAGUGAAAUGUAAAGACAGCUGAAAUGCAGAUUACCGUAUCUGUGAUCUUAGGGAAAAUUAUUUACAUUAGUUGGGGAACAAAGUUGUUAUAAUGAAAAUAUGGGAAUUGUGCUUGUGUUGGUUGCUGUCUGGCAUUAUGCAUACUCUCCUUCCCCUUAACAGGAUCAAACACGUAUGUUGCAGUUUGUUCGGUCAUAUGCAUUGGAAAUUGUAUGUUAUUGCUGAAUCAGGAAACAGUUACAGAUAUCUCGGGAUAAUACCUAUUUUCGCCCUUGGAGUAGACCCAUUUUUCCAACAGAACACUUGAACUUUGCUGUCCUAUGACCCCCCUGUCCUUGUUCAAAUUGUAUCUUUGACCCCCUUAUAUGGAAAAACCCAACGUAAAAUAGUAAGUGAUAGAUAUGCACGGACACGUGUCAAAAUAAAAAAUUAUUUUUUAUAACAGCUCCCCUUCCUUUCCACCAUAACAGGUCCCCACGCCCCCAAAAAUAACCACAGGCCAUUCUCCUUCUCUCCCAAUUAGACUAACUAAUCCCUUCUUCCCUUUCUCUUUUACCAUUUUUCUAUUAUUCUUUUCAGUUAUAAAUUACACGCUUCUUUUUCUUUUGAUUAGUAGCGAUAUCCGCUUCAUCUUUUGUCUUUUUUUUUUUCCCCACUUUUAUCACUCCUUUCUUCCUCCUAUCGCCGGAUAAGAUGACCAACGAGAAAGUUUGACCGGAAAGAAGGUUGAAAAUAGUGACAGUCGCCGGAGAUGAUGACGGGAAUGAGAGGGGUCAAUCGCCUGAGUGUUUUCCGGCAGCCCAUAGCCGAGUUUUUUCUUUUCGUUUUUUCUCCCUUCACCCCACUAAAUCUCCUAAUAUUAAAUCUUAGCAAAGGACUAAUUUAGAUCCGGCAAGAGUCCAAGUGUUCUAUUGAAAAAAAGGGGACUACUCCGGGAGGGAAAUAUAUAUUAUCCCAAUAUUCUUAGGGCUCAAAAAAGAGUUAUAUUACUUGAGCCAUGAUAUCUGAUAUGGUUUUGUAUCCGUUAUGGGUGUAUUUCCAUCUCCGCUAGAUUUUCUUGCGUACUUUGAAGGAUCCUUGUGAACUUACCAUAUUCCCUUUCUAUCAUGUUAGACAUGUACAUCAAGCUUGUCGGGCCUGAAUUGUUGAUCACAAGAAGAAAAGUCUUAUAACUGUUUAUAUAUUUAUCUUUCCUUCGACCAUCCCUGGUGCCAAUUUAUAUCUAUAUAUAUAUAAUAUAAAGCUAGGCAUAGACAAAGUGAUGUGACAUUCUUAUGACCUAGAAAAUCAUUUAUCUUUUUUUGUCUGUUCUUUAAUUUUAAAAUGAAAAACUAAUCUCUUAAUUAUUGAAAACCCAAAAGUCACUCUCUUAGCUAUCUCAUUUAUGUGCUUUUCCAAGGUUUCAAUAUCCACUACUUUGCUCUCUUAAUUAUUUAUUUAUUACAUAUAUCCACUACUUUGUCAUUUGGGGAAGAACAUUUAAUCCCAAUCAUCAAAGUAUAUAUGUUUGUUGAAGGUCUACGGACAUUGUGUAUUGGGCGUUCUUGCAAUGUCAACAUCUAUUGGUUGGUGUACUAAACCUUUCAGCUUGCAUCUGUUGAGUAUACUGUGUGCAUUCAUGAAUUAUCGUUUGUGUUGUGCAAUGGAUUUACUUGAUACCUGUUUUUUUUUGGCUUCACUGGACGGUUACCUUCUCAUCUUGCCCGGCUGUUAAAGUCUGGAGAUUUUUUCUUCACCAUAUAUAACACAAAUUCCUAAACUUCCUCGAUGCUCCUUCUCAGUGGUUACAUACGGUCCCUUUAGUAUCUAAGUAUGACUGGACGAAGACCAGUUCGCAUUUGACGAGUCCUUAAACUGCAUAAUUUGCCUUUUGGUACCCCUCGACGGGCUCGACUCGACUAUGUUUCACUCAUGUUGCGUAUCUCCAUCAAAAUAAAAUAUGUGGCUUUCUAAAAUUUACCACAUCCAAAUGUAUUUCCUCUUUUUUAUAAUUUAGGUAUUUAGGCAGCUUACUUGAUAUGUAUUGUCCCUUUGAUAUUUUAUUUUCUAUUUAUUCUUUGUUCAUUAUUUUAUGUAAGAAUUUUUUAUAUUUUUAAUUUUUUGGGAGGAUACAAGGAAUGAUAGAUUGUUCACGAAUAGCGAUAUUGAAAAGAAAAUUAUCUCAUCAUGUAGA